ACAUCGCUACACAUCCAGAAAAAAGCCGAACAUUGGCCAAAGUUUCUUUCUUUGGCCUAUAUUCGGCCUUUUGCCACUCUGGAGAGCCAAACUUUCUCUAAAGCAGGGCCCCAGACCCUUUCUCUUAUUUUGGGGAGGGGGCUCACUCUGACUCGCUGCUCCGGCUGCUAAGUAGCCGAGUAUUCUAGCCCCUUGGCCCCCUCUAGCACCAGCAGCAGCGCCUUGAUUCGGCUCUUUGCAGGGAAGGAACAACGCGGGGGGGGGGGAGGUUGUUGAGCAGUUGGGAGACUGAAACCCUGCUCUCUGUGUGUGUCUCAGCAGAGGCACCGGCCAGAGAUUGCCUAACAGGAUGGAGUUGUGACCCACAAGCUUCUAGCUCUUAUUGGCAGGCGGCUGCAUCUCCCGUGUGUGCAGUCCUGGGUGCAGACCCUGGUAACAGCUUCAGGGAAGGGUCCAACUGUGGGGGAAAGGAAGCACCUGAGACCCCGAAGAGCUGCUGCCAGCCAGUGCAGACAGCUCUGAAUGAGAUGGGCUGAGGGCCUGACUCAGUCAAAGGCUGCGUAUGUAGCCUCCCAUUGUGUUUUGAAUGCCUGUUAAGCUGAUGAAGCAUAAAAAGACCCUUUUGUGUGUUCAGAGGCAGGGCAUCCUUGGACUUCACUCACUCACACACACACACACACACAGAAGCUGCCAGCACCUAGCCCCACAUGCCAGGAGAAUAAGUUGGCAACCAUGUUGCAUCUUUUAAACAAGGCAACUGGGACCUAGAACCUCCCUAACCGGGAGGAGGGCUCCCUGCCAGGGAGAAAGAGGCAUCUGCCUGGGGCCGAGAGGAGUCCUUGCAAGGGGGCGAGACCCUCUCUCUCUCCACACCCCACCCCACCCCACCCCUGCUGCCAGGCUGGACUCUGCAAGGCGGCGGCAGCCAGCCCCGCCAGGUGACGGACAGCCCACACCGGCAGCAGCCUGACCCUCCUCGCCGCCUCCCCCGCUGCCGCCCGUAGAAUGGUCGCGUCCUCCUCGUGACGACGCUGGAGACCUUCUCAUUGAUUGGAACGUUAAGUCCCGGGAGACGAGACCAUUGAGGCGGGCAGCGGGGGGGAGGUGGCGGGCGGAGUUCUCGCGAUGACUCGGAGCCCGGCCGCGUCCUUUUGCUCGUCGACGGGAAGAGCAACUCCGGGAAGGCGCUUGUGGCGGCGGCGGCGGCGGAGGAAAGCCCGAAGAGCCGGCAGAAGAAAAGAGAGAAUUGGUGGCGUAACCGAAGAACCGAAAAAGAGCCCUUCUGGAUGAGAGCAAAGGCCCAUCAGCUUCACCACCCACUUUCUACAAAGCCUGCAGGUUGUGAGGAACCACCGCUGAUUGGCUUCAGGAAAAAUACAAGUUUCUGGGAUACACUCGGAGAUGCCACAGGAGAGAAGGCCUCUGUCUAACUCCCUUGGAGAAAUCUAAGAAUGUUUGGAUACAAUCUACACUCCCUUUGAAGGAAUUGAAGAAACCUUUUUGGAGGCUAUUUUGAAGAACUCUAUACACCAGGGAGGAUGUAAAGUCUAUCACGUUUGGGACAUAACAAUUGUUCUUUCACUUCUGAGGAAGCUCAUUGGGAAACAAGGACUUAUCGCGAAACCUUGUCAAGUGAUUCAUGUAUAUUCAGUGUUUUAUUAUAAUAAAUGACUUAGAUUAA